rnacentral:rRNA from 1 species
UGCAGUCGUACGAGAGUUUUUACUCUAGUGGCGGACGGGUGAGUAACACGUGAGAAUUUACCUUUAGGAGGGGGAUAACAGCGUAUCAAUAGAUAUUACGGAAACGGCUGCUAAUACCCCAUAUGCUUGAGUGAAAUAGAUUUCUCUGCCUAAAGAGAAGCUCGCGGCUGAUUAGCUUGUUGGUAAGGUAAUGGCUUACCAAGGCGACGAUCAGUAUCUGGUUUGAGAGGACGAUCAGACACACUGGAACUGAGACACGGUCCAGACUCCUACGGGAGGCAGCAGUGGGGAAUUUUCCGCAAUGGGCGAAAGCCUGACGGAGCAAUACCGCGUGAGGGAAGACGGCCUAUGGGUUGUAAACCUCUUUUUUCAGGGAGGAAUUCAAUGACGUGUACCUGAGGAAUAAGCAUCGGCUAACUCCGUGCCAGCAGCCGCGGUAAUACG